GUCCUGAUUUCAUAGAAAUUAAUCUAAUAUCUAUCUAUCCAUUAGUGCAUAUCACAAUUUUAAAUUAAAUAAAUGUGCCUUCAAGUAGUUCAUGUGUAAAAAAAAAUGCUAAGGAUAAUGCUGUGGAUUCAUUUAAAUUUUGUGGUCACAUGUAUCAAUUUUCGUGGAUUAAAGAAAUUUUGUAUUUGUUUUGUUUGGUUUUUUCAUAGUCUGUAUACAACCCGAUGGCAAAUUUAUAAUUCGUUUAACAUUUAAAUUCGUGACUCAGCUGUUUCAAUGAAAACCACGAAAAUUGGUAUCCCAUGAAUAAUAAUGAAUCCACAUUGAACAUUUUCAGCAUGAAGGUUUAUGCCAUUCUGUUCUUAUUUCAGAUUGACAUAUCUGUAGGACAUGCAGUUAGCCUAGACAAAUAGGAAGAGAAAGGUCUUUGAUUCUGAGUUCUCUGUGAAGUUCAAGGUCUUUUUUAGUCUAAAUUAUAAUGGGAAGAUGUGAACGGUAAGUUUGAAAGUUUGUAAUUGUGCAAAAAUAUGUUAUUUUUAACAAAAUGUGCUGUUUCACAAAUAAAAUCCUCUGUCUCUUAGACACUUAUGUAGCAAUAAGGCCACUAUAUUGGUAUAUGAAAUGAUUGUAAGCUGUAUUUGCUUGACUGGUUAAACUGACCAUGCCUUCAUUUUCAUGGAUCAAGUUUAUGUGAUAUUAUUAAAAAAAAAAGCGACAAAUUUUCAAUCAUAAGUAAAGCAGGCUUAGUUGUUAAUUUAUGUGUCAUUUGGGCUCUUGUGGAGAGUAAAUGUCUCAUUGGCAAUAAUGAAUUAUACCACAUCUUUUUUUAUAUGACAUUUGAAUGUUGCAUUUAUAUAUAUAUAUAUUAUAUACAUAUUGCAAUCACUCAUUAGCUGGCCAAUUGUUUAUUAGCAUCCAUGUUUACAAAUAACUACAUUUGUGCAAUAAUGGGAUGAUUUUGUGGCACCAUGUACUUUAACUGUUCUAGAGUAAUGCCCUUUACAAACAAACAAAAGUGCUGAAUUUUGUUUCCAUUUUCUAACUUUUAUAAGUUUGCCUCUGAACCAAAUGCUAUGAAAUCAAUACACAGCAAUGCUUAUUACCACAAAAUACAGAUCAAGUAUGUAUUAAGGGGGUGGUGUCACUUAACUGUUCUGUAGUUAUGCCCCUUUACAAAUGAAAAAUAUGCUUAUAUUUAUAGUUUCCGUUCUCUAACUUUGAUUUGCCUCAACUAAAUGCAAUUAAACUUAUACACAAUGCUUGUUACCACAAAAAUACAGAGAUCAAGUUUGAAUUUUAAGGGGGUCACUUUAACCGUUCUAGAAUUAUGCCCCUUCACAAAUUGAAUGAUUGCUGAAAUUUUCAUUUCCAUUCACUUACUUUAAUUAGCUUGCCUCAACCAAAUGCUAUGACAUGUAUGAAUAAUUGUACACAAUAUUUAUUACCACAAAAUACAGAUCAAGUUUGACUUUUGAGGUUGUCAUUAAAUUUUUUAGAGUUAUGUCCCUUUGAAAAUGGAAAAAUUGCUGGAUUUGUGUUUCCUUUCUCUAAAUUAAGUUUGCAUAAACUAAAUUUUAUGAAACUUAUACACAAUACCUAUUACCACUAAAUCAGAUCAAGUGUUUUCGGUAGAGUCACUUUUACAGUUAUGUCCUUUUAUAACUUUAUAUGAUAUGCAAGCGUGGGCAUCAUCUGUGAUCCAUUGAUACAUUCCCCAUUUAAUUUUUUGUUAAACAUCAAUUUUUUAAUUUUUUGGUUGUCAGAGCCGAUUAAUGCCCCAUUUGUUUGUAGGUAAGAAUUGGUAAAGUAACACACACACAUAUAUAUAUCAAAAAAGUGCACAAAAACCUAAUUAUUGAUAUUAUGUUGAUAGUCCUAAGUAUAAAACUUUAUUAAAAACUGUCACAUAAACUUAGCAUUAACCAAGAUAACUAAACAAAGACCAAUGAACCAUGAAAAUGAGGUCAAGGUCAGAUGAACCAUGCCAGGCAGACAUGUACAGCUAACAAUGCUUCCAUACAACAAAUAUAGUUGACCUAUUACUUAUAGUUUAAGAAAAAUAGACCAAAACACAAAAACUUAACACUGAGCAAUGAACCGUGAAAAUGAGGUCAAGGUCAAAUAAAACCUGUGGGACUGACAUAUAGAUCAUAAAAUAUUUCCAUACACCAAAUAUAGUUGACCUAUGGCAUAUAGUAUUAGAUAAAAAGACCAAAACUCAAAAACUUAACUUUGACCACUCAACCAUGAAAAUGAGCUCAAGGUCAGAUGACAUCUGCCCGCUAGACAUGUACAUCUUACAAUCAUUCCAUACAACAAAUAUAGUAGAUUAUUGCAUAAGUAUGAGAAAAACAGACCAAAACACAAAACUUAACUAUAACCACUGAACCAUGAAAAUGAGGUCAAGGUCAGAUGACACCUGCCAGUUGGACAUGUACACCUUACAGUCCUUCCAUACACUGAAUAUACUAGACCUAUUGCUUAUAGUAUCUGAGAUAUGGACUUGACCACCAAAACUUAACCUUGUUCACUGAUCCAUGAAAUGAGGUCGAGGUCAAGUGAAAACUGUCUGACGGGCAUGAGGACCUUGCAAGGUACGCAUAUACCAAAUAUAAUUAUCCUAUUACUUAUGAUAAGAGAGAAUUAACAUUACAAAAAAUCUGAACUUUUUUUUCAAGUGUCACUGAACCAUGAAAAUGAGGUCAAGGACAUUUGACAUGUGACUGACGGAAACUUCGUAACAUGAGGCAUCUAUAUACAAAGUAUGAAGCAUCCAGGUCUUCCACCCUCUAAAAUAUAAAGCUUUUAAAAAGUUAGCUAACACCGCCGUAGCCGCCGCCGGAUCACUAUCCCUAUGUCGAGCUUUCUGCAACAAAAGUUGCAGGCUCGACAAAAAUGAAAACACCAGAUUAGAAAAAAAAGAUGCAGUAUGAUUGCUAAGGAAACAACUGCCAUAAUAAUUAUAAGAACAACAUUUAAACAUCAUCAGAGUAUUAAGGCUUCAAUUAUUGAAGAAAACAAAUGACAUACAGUAAGCUAUGAAAGGACCUGUGAUAACAAAUUCAUCUAUUAUCAUAAUUAUAAGACAGAACAAAAUAUGAAAUCAUGAAUAUUAAUAUGAAGGACUUUAGAAAUAUGAACUUGAAUUGACUUUUCUUUGUAGGAUACAAAGAAAUCUUGGAGGACAAAUUGGUGCGAGUCUUAAAAGACACAGAUUUGAAGAUAAAUGAAAGAAAAAGAAUGACAAACAUAGUUUAAAGGACUGCAGACUUCCUGAUAUCUUUCAAACUGUUCUUUUGGUAUACAUGGUAUAAAUGUAAUAUUGCAAUAUCAUUUUAUUUGUAUAGGUAUACAUCCUGUAAAUCUUGUUGGUGCCUUUUAGCUCCUUAAAUGCAACCACUAUUUAGUAAACAUUGUCAUGAUUGUUGUUCUAUAUGUGAGCUUAUUAGUUAACUAGAGCAUAGUAAUUGCAUAUAUAUGCAAUCUUAGUCUUUUUAAUUCAGAAAUAAUUUUUAAAACAAGUUAUUCUAAUCAGACUAAUGGAAUUUUAUUUUGUAUGUUUAACCUGUUAUAUGCACUUUGUCAAAUUUAGCAUGUUGCAAAUGUGAUGCAAUAUAGAGCAACCUUUAUAUUUCUUAGAAAAUGCUUUUUCUGAACUGUAAUGAAAAGUAUGGUUAUACAUAAUAUCCAAAAAAAAUUUUUUAAGUGAGACAUAUGUUUUAUGAAUAUUUCAAUAAAUGUUAGAAACAAGUUUACAUAAAAAAUUUCUUAUGUAUCAAAAUUCUGUGUUGUAAAAUCUCAAAGAUUUUUUUUUCGGGAUUUUUCUCAAUAUGUUUAAUAAAUCAAAAUGCGUAAUUUUUGCUUGUAGAUUUUAUUUCGGGAUUUUUCCCGAAAUGGGUAAAAAAAAUCUAUGCACCAAGUGUGUGCCUGACAUUAGAUUUAUAUUUCGGGAUUUUUCCCGAAAUGUGAAAAGAAAUUAUUAGUCAUGAGACCUAGCAUAUAUACAUUUGAUUUUUCGGGAUAAAUCCCGAAAAUAUUUGAAAACAUCUGUGUUAUGCAUUUUGUAAUUAGUUUAUUUUUGUCAGGAUAUUUCCCGAAAUGUGUUUCAGAUCUGUUUGUUCAAACGCUUUGCCAACAUAUAUGUCAUAAAAUUUAAUGUUGAAAAUGAUUUCGGGAUUUUUCCCGAAAUGUUGAAAGAAAUUAUUAGUCAUGAGACCUAGCAUAUACAUUUGAUUUUUCGGGAUAAAUCCCGAAAAUAUUUAAAGACAUCUGUGUUAUACAUUUUGUAAUUAGUUUAUUUUUGUCGGGAUAUUUCCCGAAAUGUGUUUCAGAUCUGUUUGUUCAAACACUUUGCCAAUAUAUAUGUCAUAAAAUUUAAUGUUGAAAAUGAUUUCGGGACAUUUCCCGAAUAAAUAGUUGUCAUAUAUACAUUUUUACC
rnacentral:lncRNA from 1 species